rnacentral:rRNA from 1 species
UGCAGUCGAGCGAACAGAUAAGGAGCUUGCUCCUUUGACGUUAGCGGCGGACGGGUGAGUAACACGUGGGUAACCUACCUAUAAGACUGGGAUAACUUCGGGAAACCGGAGCUAAUACCGGAUAACAUUUGGAACCGCAUGGUUCUAAAGUGAAAGAUGGUUUUGCUAUCACUUAUAGAUGGACCCGCGCCGUAUUAGCUAGUUGGUAAGGUAACGGCUUACCAAGGCGACGAUACGUAGCCGACCUGAGAGGGUGAUCGGCCACACUGGAACUGAGACACGGUCCAGACUCCUACGGGAGGCAGCAGUAGGGAAUCUUCCGCAAUGGGCGAAAGCCUGACGGAGCAACGCCGCGUGAGUGAUGAAGGGUUUCGGCUCGUAAAACUCUGUUAUUAGGGAAGAACAAACGUGUAAGUAACUGUGCACGUCUUGACGGUACCUAAUCAGAAAGCCACGGCUAACUACGUGCCAGCAGCCGCGGUAAUACGUAGGUGGCAAGCGUUAUCCGGAAUUAUUGGGCGUAAAGCGCGCGUAGGCGGUUUCUUAAGUCUGAUGUGAAAGCCCACGGCUCAACCGUGGAGGGUCAUUGGAAACUGGGAAACUUGAGUGCAGAAGAGGAAAGUGGAAUUCCAUGUGUAGCGGUGAAAUGCGCAGAGAUAUGGAGGAACACCAGUGGCGAAGGCGACUUUCUGGUCUGUAACUGACGCUGAUGUGCGAAAGCGUGGGGAUCAAACAGGAUUAGAUACCCUGGUAGUCCACGCCGUAAACGAUGAGUGCUAAUGUUUAGGGGGUUUCCGCCCCUUAGUGCUGCAGCUAACGCAUUAAGCACUCCGCCCGGGGGAGUACGACCGCAAGGUUGAAACUCAAAGGAAUUGACGGGGACCCGCACAAGCGGUGGAGCAUGUGGUUUAAUUCGAAGCAACGCGAAGAACCUUACCGGAUCUUGACAUCCUUUGAAAACUCUAGAGAUAGAGCCUUCCCCUUCGGGGGACAAAGUGACAGGUGGUGCAUGGUUGUCGUCAGCUCGUGUCGUGAGAUGUUUGGGUUAAGUCCCGCAACGAGCGCAACCCUUAAGCUUAGUUGCCAUCAUUAAGUUGGGCACUCUAGGUUGACUGCCGGUGACAAAC